UAGGGAAUAUUGGUAAUCUGGGAAACCGGGAACCAGCAACGCCGCGUGCGCGAUGAAGGCCUUCGGGUUGUAAAGCGCUUUUUGAGAGGAUGAGGAAGGACAGUACUCUUAGAAUAAGCCUCGGCUAACUACGUGCCAGCAGCCGCGGUAAUACGGAGGGUGCAAGCGUUGUUCGGAAUUACUGGGCGUAAAGGGCGUGUAGGCGGCUGAUUAAGUCAGAUGUGAAAGCCCUGGGCUCAACCCAGGAAGUGCAUUUGAAACUGGUCAGCUAGAGUACGGGAGAGGAAGGUGGAAUUCCUGGUGUAGAGGUGAAAUUCAUAGAUAUCGGGAAGAACACCGGUGGCGAAGGCGGCCUUCUGGCCCGAUACUGACGCUGAGACGCGAAAGCGUGGGGAGCAAACA
rnacentral:rRNA from 1 species